ensembl:miRNA microRNA 501
GCUCUCCCUCUCUCAUCCUUCGUCCCUGGGUGAGAGUGCUUUCCGAAUGCAAUGCACCUGGGCAAGGAUUCCAGAGGGCGAGGC